UACGAAGGGGCUAGCGUUGCUCGGAAUCACUGGGCGUAAAGGGUGCGUAGGCGGGUCUUUUAAGUCAGGGGUGAAUCCUGGAGCUCAACUCCAGAACUGCCUUUGAUACUGAAGAUCUUGAGUUCGGGAGAGGUGAGUGGAACUGCGAGUGUAGAGGUGAAAUUCGUAGAUAUUCGCAAGAACACCAGUGGCGAAGGCGGCUCACUGGCCCGAUACUGACGCUGAGGCACGAAAGCGUGGGGAGCAAACAGG
rnacentral:rRNA from 1 species